rnacentral:lncRNA from 1 species
AACCACCAUCGGGGACAGCAGUUUGCGAACUGCACUGGGAUUUCCUUCCCCAACAAGCCCAAGAGCUGCGACACUUGUGACUGAUUCAUGAUUGAGCAUUUAAAAUGGAUGGUCCUCAAACUCUUCGGAAGAGUUCCUUCCCAAAGCUCUAAUCCUUACACUCCCACCUUCCCCCAAAAUCGGGGGUCCGCCGGUUUCCUAAAAAGCACGCAGCGCCAGGCAGCUCGGAGGCCCCGGAGGUCUCCCGCAGUCUCGGAGCACCGGGCCGCCUAGUCCGGCCGGGCCCCACCUCCCGCCGCCGCUCGGAGCUGCGGCGAAAACCUGGAGAGCGCCGCACCAGAGCCGGAGCACUGCGCAUGCCCAAUGGCCCCACGGGGUGCGGGUCGCCCGCAGAUUUCCUCCUGCUCUCACAGCGGAACCCAGCACGGGGACCCGGAUCGCGCGGUGGAGACAGCAGCCUCCCCCGGCACCCGGGCUUCUGGGUCUGCCCGCGCGUGCCGCAGUGACACGGGUCGCCCUGGGGGCGCUGCCCGCAGGGUCUGGUCUGGGGGCGGGGGUGGGAGGGAGGACCAGGAGCGGCCCUGCCUGUGUGACACGUGACUGUCCGCCGCGCUCCGGGGCAGCCAUCUUCCGCCCUGCGGGGACCGCUGGCGAGGAACGGUCCGGGAUCCGGUGGCUCUCGACCCAGCAGCUUCCCCACCAGGCCCGGGUCCCCGCCCUCACCUGCCUCCGCGGGGCUACUGCGGGCGGAAGUUAGAAGAGGAGUUCUCGUUCCUGAGGCGCCGGUACCGCUCCCACUGCUUCCCUGUUGUGACCCAUUCCCGGCGACGGGAGGAUGGAGGUGGCGGAAGACGUCAGGACCGCCGCCGCUCCCCUCCAUGCAUUUCCCCUGCCGCCGGUCAGGUUCCAUGGUGAUGCUGUUAUAGUCACUUGGUGUCCCUGAAAUCUCUGGACCCUCGACCUCACCACCCGAGGAUGCAUUACCACACCUAGACCCACGGAAUCAGAAACGCUAUUGGUGGGGUCCUCCCUGAAAUCUGGUUAACAAGCCCUCAGGGUGAACCUAAAUGCCGCUUUCCCUAAGCCCUUGAGACCCGUUUUCAUGUGAGACGCUGAAAACUUGGGAAAAAACGGAUUCAAAAUGCAGCCUGCUCCUGGCCAGGCGCUUGGGGUCUCUCGUCCUCUCCUGCAUCCCUGGCCUCUUCACCCCAGGACACUAUGCUACUGCACUUACACCGUGUUUUUACAUGACAACAGACAUUCAGUUCAGUUUGGAGUGUCAACCAAGAGCAGGAGAGUGCCUGAGCGGCUUAGUAGCCCCACUGGGUAUUAAACAUCAGUUUAAAAGAUAAAAGGAAGGCUUGCUGGUUUUUGACAUGAGUGCUGGACAGCCACUGGCUACUUCGCACUUGCUGUAACCGAGGUCAAAGUAAGCACUGCUGUAUGACAGAUCAAGGAAUCUAGAGUUUAAAAUCUACCCUCCUCCCCCAGUGUGCACGUGUGUGUGUGUGUGUGUGUGUGUGUGUGUGUGUGUGUAUGUGUGUGUGUGUACACACACACUUGUAAAGAUGAAUUAAAGUCUGCAGAAUAGUGACAGUUGCUAGUGUGUCGCAGUCAAUAUAGGGCUACUUUAAUUUUUUCCCCUGUAUCUUUGAAAUGUUUUUUUAAGAAAAAAAAAGAUAGGACUCUUCUAUGCAUAAUUUUAACAUGAUGCAUCAUAUAUUAAAAAGGGAAGGAUAUAAAAGCAUUUUCACAAAAAAAGCAUUUUCACUUCAAUUUCAAGAAACUAUUCUUAGAAAAGGCACAUGUAAAUACACUAUAUUUAGCAUAGCUGUAAAUAAAUGGGGGGGAUCUAAAGAGAAACCA